ensembl:rRNA 5S_rRNA 5S ribosomal RNA
ACUCACGGCCAUACCAGCCAAGGAACGGCCAAUUUCGUCUGAUCUCAGAAGCUAAGAAGGCUUGGGCCUGGUUAGUACUUGGAUGGGAAACUGCCUGGGAAUACCAGGUGCUUUAAGUA